rnacentral:rRNA from 1 species
CAGCAGCCACGGUAAUACGAAGGGUGCAAGCGUUAAUCGGAAUUACUGGGCGUAAAGCGUGCGCAGGCGGUUAUAUAAGACAGAUGUGAAAUCCCCGGGCUCAACCUGGGACCUGCAUUUGUGACUGUAUAGCUAGAGUACGGUAGAGGGGGAUGGAAUUCCGCGUGUAGCAGUGAAAUGCGUAGAUAUGCGGAGGAACACCGAUGGCGAAGGCAAUCCCCUGGACCUGUACUGACGCUCAUGCACGAAAGCGUGGGGAGCAAACAGGAUUAGAUACCCCUGUAUCCCUGUCUCUUAUACA